GAUGAACGCUAGCUACAGGCUUAACACAUGCAAGUCGAGGGACCGGCGCACGGGUGAGUAACACGUAUCCAACCUGCCCUUUACUCGGGGAUAGCCUUUCGAAAGCAAGAUUAAUACCCGAUCUCUAGGAUGGGGAUGCGUUCCAUUAGGUUGUUGGUGAGGUAACGGCCCACCAAGCCUUCGAUGGAUAGGGGUUCUGAGAGGAAGGUCCCCCACAUGGGAACUGCGACACGGUCCAAAAUCGUACGAGAGGCAGCAGUGAGGAAUAUUGGUCAAUGGGCGUGAGCCUGAACCAGCCAAGUAGCGUGAAGGAUGAAUGCUGAUGGGUCGUAAACUUCUUUUAUAUAAGAAUAUGUAUUAUAUGAAUAAGGAUCGGCUAACUCCGUGCCAGCAGCCGCGGUAAUUC
rnacentral:rRNA from 1 species